rnacentral:rRNA from 1 species
ACGGGAGGCAGCAGUGGGGAAUAUUGCACAAUGGGCGCAAGCCUGAUGCAGCGACGCCGCGUGAGUGAUGAAGUAUUUCGGUAUGUAAAACUCUAUCAGCAGGGAAGAUAAUGACGGUACCUGACUAAGAAGCACCGGCUAAAUACGUGCCAGCAGCCGCGGUAAUACGUAUGGUGCAAGCGUUAUCCGGAUUUACUGGGUGUAAAGGGAGCGUAGGCGGUUUAUUAAGUCUGAUGUGAAAGCCCGGGGCUCAACUCCGGUAUUGCAUUGGAAACUGGUAAACUUGAGUGUCGGAGGGGUAAGUGGAAUUCCUAGUGUAGCGGUGAAAUGCGUAGAUAUUAGGAGGAACACCAGUGGCGAAGGCGGCUUACUGGACGAUUACUGACGCUGAGGCUCGAAAGCGUGGGGAGCAAACAGGAUUAGAUACCCUGGUA